UUCUGGAGAAACAACGCUAUAUCCACAUACAUUAGUGAUAUUUGUCUAAUAAUUGUUGCUAGAUAUAUCCCCCAUCUAUCUCGUGCCCGAUCCCUAAUUUUUCUUUUUAACUUCUUCUUCCUCCAUCCUCAACAGUAGAUUAGCUUUAUUAAAUCGAGUUCUUCACUAGUUUCAGUAUUCACCAUUCGUUGAUAGUCACUACUAUCUCGUCGCCCGUAACUCCUCAAGGCUUAAAAAUUCAGAAAUUGGUGAAGAAGUUAAGGCUUUGAUUCCCGGGUAAUUGUUGAAGAAGAACAAGAGGAAUGAAGAAUGAGAAUUGCCAAAAAGCAAGAGCUUGAAGCUACUAAGAAGAAGAAAGCUGAGAAUCAGCAGCCCACUUACUGAAAGUUUGCAUGUCUGAGGCCUGGUGCUUUUAGCAUGGGGAAUUACUAUUAGACUUAUCUACAGGACUAGAAUCUUCUCAAGACUAAUAAAUCCAUACAUAUUGGGGAGGGAGAUCUUGGAAGAGAGAACAGUGGAUGGUAUAAAGAUGCUUCUUUAAGAAUUAUAGAAAAUCACUUUUCAGAACCUAGUGGACAAGCUGGUUUGAAACCAAUUGUGGAAGGUAGUCUUUCGAAUUGUGACUGGUGAUACAGUAAACAUCUAGGUUUUUUAAUGGUUUCAUUCAUG